ACUCUCCAGGCUCAGGUUUCCAUUCUCCCCGCUGCAAGGGGGCCAGUCACUCCUGAUUCCAUUAUCUAAAGCGCUGGAAGACCGUUGACUCCUAGGUGAUUGAGGACUGCGCCAGAAGCUGCCUCCCCUCAGCUUGGCUAAUGGAGUGAACUGUGAAAGUGACUUCCUAAUCAGAUCAGCUCUCAUUUCUAGACUCUCAGGUGGCCCAUCCCGGCAGAAGAGAGUGAAAACCAAUGCUUGUCCAACCGGGAACAGAACAGGAUGUACCUGGAGACUUGCUUCCCGGCUGGCCAGCAGAGCCUUGCCCAGUCACAACAGCAUGGUAAACACCACCAAAAACAAUGGGGACAAUACAACAGGGCUAGAGAGGAGGCAUAAGGACAUGGUUUCCAAAGUCAGUUCCCUUUAUUAAAUGUUGAAUUUUCACAGACCAGAAAUACAAAAUAAAAGUAGAAAUAGACCCCAGUUAGGAGCUACAGGCCUGAUCGCACAUGACCCCUGCUGCAGCAACUUGAACAGGAGAAGCAGCGGCUACAUCCCUAAGGUCGGGAGAGCAGGCCAAGUGUUUCACCCUGCACUGCCCUGCCCCCCACCCAAUCUCUCCCCAAAUUAUAAAGAGCCAUCCUCGGAAAGCAGUAGAGGGAAAACCCCUCCCCUCCUGCCCCAGUUGAAGUGCACAUCCCACCAGAAGAGCUUGUCCAGAUGGCACAAAAUCCAAGGACUACAUUUCAUAGGAGAAACUGGUACCAAAACACGGGUGGAGAGACUGCAGGUGUGACAGGGCAACCUCCAGAAGAGAGAAUUUCCCCCUGCUCUACUCAUCAGAUCCUGAUGCUGAGUCUUCUGAGCUGGGGGGAGUACUGGCCAGCUCCUCCUCUUCAGAGUCCUGAAAAUCAAAGGUCUCUUAAGGAGAAAAGUUGAGUCCUGGUUGCCCUCCCAGGGAGCCACUUUUCAGUGAUGGAAGGACCCCUAAUUCCCUACUCCCUCUCCCUGAGCUGCAGCACUGGCCUUCAGACCUCCAAUCUGCACUCCCUUCCCCCCUCAUCACUCUCACAGACCUACCACAGCCCCUGGCCCCCAGCCAACCACCCCUCAGGGGCCCCUCAUCCCAAACUCCUGCCUCACCUCGCUCCGCCUUCUCUUCUUUUUGCUCUUGUUCUCUCCAGAAGAGCUCUCAUCACUGGACACAAACUCUUUGCUCUUAAAGCUCUCACUCAGCUGCCUUGACGACGACUUGGAUGAUGAACCCCUCGAGGGCGUUGAUUUCUUUUCCACCUUCACCUUUACUUUCUUCUUCUUCUUUGACUUGUCCCUAUAACAGCAAGAGGGAGAAGGGUCUGGGCCUUCAGGCUCACCCACCAAAGCCAAUCCACCCUAACUUUUAACAGAACUUUUCUCACUCACGGCCGCACUGCUAUCUCACUAUGAACGCGAACAGCCAGCCAGGUCAGCCCCAAGAGCCCCAAGGGAGGGCAUCCUAAGCAAAUAACCAGAAAAAUCACAGGCCAGAGCCUGAAGCAGUUGCACUCACAGACUUAUCUGGCAUCUCUUGCUUUGUCUUUAAAAGUUCAUCUGAAUGAUGUUCCAUCGUAAUUUUUUGUUAAUUCCCCCAUACCUUUGAAUAAAACUGACCCUCAUGAAAAGGGCCCCCUUUAUCCUGUGACUUCAGCAAUUCCCUAGCAAACUGCCCAUACUUGGGUAAUUGCCUACCCAGACUUGAGGAGCACUGCCCUAUUGCAGUCAGAGCAUACUUAUUAUCUUCAGCACCCUGAUUCUCAACCUAGACCUGCAAAAAUAGAUGUCGAAAAAGCAAUCACUGGGCCAUUUUGUUCCCAACACUCACCUCUUAGAAGACUCACCCCGGCCACCUUCAUAUUCUUUCAUGGCUUUUUCAUAUUCCCUCCUGGCAUCCUCAGCCUUGCGAUCCCACUCCUGUCUCUCACGCAAACACACACACACACACAUACACACACGAAAAAAAAAAAAAGAGAUAAGAAUGAGGCCUCUUCCCUGACACAGGCAAAAUCUAUACAGAAAAGUUUCACCAAAGGCCCAUCCCUGCCCCCUCUAUCUCUGCUACCGCUCACCUCUUUCUUCUCUUUGGACAUUCCCUUCCAGAUCUCGCCUGCCUUCUUGGAAAGAUCUGUGAUACUGAUGCCGGGAUGGUCUGACUUGAUCUUCUCUCGGCUGGCGUUGAGCCACAGCAUGUAGGCAGACAUUGGCCUCUUGGGGGCAUUGGGGUCUUUGCCCUUCUUCACCUACAUAAGAACCCAAAUGCCUUCAACCAUCUAUUUCUCACAGACACCCCCAUGUUCUCCGAAAGAAAUUACUGACAACAC
rnacentral:lncRNA from 1 species